AUUACAGACAUGAGCCACUGUGCCUGGCCAGAACUGGCUUCUUAAAACAAAUUUAUCAGGCCAGGCGUGGUGGCUCAUGUCUGUAAU
rnacentral:miRNA from 1 species